rnacentral:lncRNA from 1 species
AGAGCGGAAAUCACCCGGCGUGGAGAAAUCGGGUGUGUUCAUUUUACUGCAACAGGCUAAGAGCAGUUUUUCGAUCAUCUAGGGCAGAUUCAUCUGUGGGAAAGAGGAAGCAGUCUGCCCCGGGCAAGUCAUUUUAUUGUUAAUAUUCAGUAAGGGAUAUAAUUAAAUUAGUUCCUGAUAUCUCUGAUGCUACAGUGGCAGCAGAUGCUUGGAUACCUUCUUCAUUGAAUUCCAGGGAAGAUGUGUGAAAAACACUUAAUAGAUAACAAAAAUUUGAGUAUUGACAGUCCAGAAAAGUCAGCCUUAUCCUAAUGAAAGGCAUCAGACAUUCCCAAACUGCAGAGAAUAUGAACUAUGUCACAAGACUCCUCAAUCUUGACUCUGGGGACGAACAAUGGUUUGCUAAGAAAUUCCAUCAAGGCUAUUAUUUCUGGCUUUGUCCAGGUUAUAAAUGUUUCAUAGGUAAGCUCUUUUUCAACCUGUAGAAAAGAAUUGAAAAUCCCAAAAUCACGCCGACUAUGUGACCUCAUAUGUUCAUUCUCUUUGUACUGUAUAUCUAGAAAGUUAUUGCCUCCCCAGGAUCAAUUGCGAUUUUUGGUAUAUUUGUCAAAUACACUAUGCUGGAU